UACAGAGGGUGCGAGCGUUAAUCGGAAUUACUGGGCGUAAAGCGCACGUAGGCGGUCUGUUAAGUCAGGUGUGAAAGCCCCCGGCUCAACCGGGGAAUUGCAUUUGAUACUGGCAGGCUCGAGAACGGUAGGGGUGAGUGGAACUCCAGGUGGAGCGGUGAAAUGCGUAGAUAUCUGGAGGAACACCGGUGGCGAAAGCGGCUCACUGGACCGUCACUGACGCUGAGGUGCGAAAGCUAGGGUAGCAAACGGG
rnacentral:rRNA from 1 species